rnacentral:rRNA from 1 species
UACGUAGGGUGCAAGCGUUGUCCGGAAUUAUUGGGCGUAAAGAGCUCGUAGGCGGUCUGUCGCGUCGGCUGUGAAAACUCGGGGCUCAACCCCGAGCCUGCAGUCGAUACGGGCAGACUAGAGUUCGGUAGGGGAGACUGGAAUUCCUGGUGUAGCGGUGAAAUGCGCAGAUAUCAGGAGGAACACCGGUGGCGAAGGCGGGUCUCUGGGACGGUACUGACGCUGAGACGCGAAAGCGUGGGGAGCGAACAGG